rnacentral:rRNA from 1 species
CCUACGGGUGGCACCAGUGGGGAAUAUGGACAAUGGGCGCAAGCCUGAUCCAGCCAUGCCGCGUGUGUGAUGACGGCCUUAGGGUUGUAAAGCACUUUCGCCGAUGAAGAUAAUGACUGUAGUCGGAGAAGAAGCCCCGGCUAACUUCGUGCCAGCAGCCGCGGUAAUACGAAGGGGGCUAGCGUUGUUCGGAAUUACUGGGCGUAAAGCGUACGUAGGCGGAUUGUUAAGUGAGGGGUGAAAUCCCGAGGCUCAACCUCGGAACUGCCUUUCAUACCGGCAAUCUUGAGUCCGGGAGAGGUGAGUGGAACUCCUAGUGUAGAGGUGAAAUUCGUAGAUAAUAGGAAGAACACCAGUGGCGAAGGCGGCUCACUGGCCCGGAACUGACGCUGAGGUACGAAAGCGUGGGGAGCAAACAGGAUUAGAUACCCGGGUAGUC